rnacentral:rRNA from 1 species
UGCAGUCGAACGAUGAAGCCUUUCGGGGUGGAUUAGUGGCGAACGGGUGAGUAACACGUGGGCAAUCUGCCCUUCACUCUGGGACAAGCCCUGGAAACGGGGUCUAAUACCGGAUAACACACUGUUCCGCAUGGGACGGUGUUGAAAGCUCCGGCGGUGAAGGAUGAGCCCGCGGCCUAUCAGCUUGUUGGUGGGGUAAUGGCCUACCAAGGCGACGACGGGUAGCCGGCCUGAGAGGGCGACCGGCCACACUGGGACUGAGACACGGCCCAGACUCCUACGGGAGGCAGCAGUGGGGAAUAUUGCACAAUGGGCGAAAGCCUGAUGCAGCGACGCCGCGUGAGGGAUGACGGCCUUCGGGUUGUAAACCUCUUUCAGCAGGGAAGAAGCGAAAGUGACGGUACCUGCAGAAGAAGCGCCGGCUAACUACGUGCCAGCAGCCGCGGUAAUACGUAGGGCGCAAGCGUUGUCCGGAAUUAUUGGGCGUAAAGAGCUCGUAGGCGGCUUGUCACGUCGGAUGUGAAAGCCCGGGGCUUAACCCCGGGUCUGCAUUCGAUACGGGCUAGCUAGAGUGUGGUAGGGGAGAUCGGAAUUCCUGGUGUAGCGGUGAAAUGCGCAGAUAUCAGGAGGAACACCGGUGGCGAAGGCGGAUCUCUGGGCCAUUACUGACGCUGAGGAGCGAAAGCGUGGGGAGCGAACAGGAUUAGAUACCCUGGUAGUCCACGCCGUAAACGUUGGGAACUAGGUGUUGGCGACAUUCCACGUCGUCAGUGCCGCAGCU